CCUAGUGCUUAGAUGGCAAAGGGCAAGCAAGAACAGUUAGCAUCCAGGAGAGGAGGGAUUCCUUAGAACAGCGGUUCUCAGCCUUCCUGGUGCUGCAGGUGUUUGGUUCUCAGCCUUCCUGGUGCUGCAGGUGUUUGGUUCUCAGCCUUCCUGGUGCUGCAGGUGUUUGGUUCUCAGCCUUCCUGGUGCUGCAGGUGUUUGGUUCUCAGCCUUCCUGAUGCUGCAGGUGUUUGGUUCUCAGCCUUCCUGGUGCUGCAGGUGUUUGGUUCUCAGCCUUCCUGAUGCUGCAGGUGUUUGGUUCUCAGCCUUCCUGGUGCUGCAGGUGUUUGGUUCUCAGCCUUCCUGAUG